ACCUGGAAAAAGUUUUAACAGUAUUCAAAACGUCAGCAACGUUUAACCAUAUAAUUUGAGGUAGGCUUAUUUAGUUGUCAUAUUCAUUGACUUUGGCUAUGUUUGAACUCGUGCUAAUCAUAGUUAUUGUCGAUUGUGCUUGCACUGUGAAAAGUACAUGAUUUUCUAAACUAGGAAUUACCGCAAGCGAGGUUGCAGCUGUGAAUAAGCACAUUCUGGGAAUUGUGGAGGUGGAUGCCAUCUGUGUUGGGGCUGUCACCAGGAGAUGAGAUGCUAAUAUAAAAAACCUGAACGUUUGUACAAGAAUCAAACUUGAGGAAUAGGCAUGGGCGUAGGCGCUGGUGGCUUAGGCUUAAGUGCAGGUGCAGGUGCUGGUGGAGUAAUGCGCUUAUGGCGGCUACUGUGGCCUUUAUCCAUUAUACUGGACAGGUGAAUUCUGCUUUGCCUCCAAGACUGGCUUUUUCUAGCAUGGCAAGCACCAAAGUCCCCACUUAAUAUAAGAAUGGCAACUAGAACGAGAGAUGCAUGGUUCUUUAGGUCAAUACUUGUCAUUUUUGUGAAGUGAUGAACAAACGAGAUGAAGAGGAUCAAAUGGGAGAAGUACUCCGUCGUCCAAAUGGCUAGUGAGGGAGAACAUUAGCUCCAUAUGUGUAUAUAUACACUUGGACGGAGCGGCUUGUUUGAACUUAUGCCACUGUGCACAUAUGUGUGGAACAGUGUAAUAAAGAGAAGAAAGAGUUUGGAGGGUA